UACAGAGGUCUCAAGCGUUGUUCGGAUUCAUUGGGCGUAAAGGGUGCGUAGGCGGCGCGGUAAGUCGGGUGUGAAAUCUUGGGGCUUAACUCCGAAACUGCAUUCGAUACUGCCGUGCUUGAGGACUGGAGAGGAGACGUGGAAAUUUACGGUGUAGCAGUGAAAUGCGUAGAUAUCGUAAGGAAGACCAGUGGCGAAGGCGAGUCUCUGGACAGUUACUGGACAGCUGAG
rnacentral:rRNA from 1 species